GAUGAACGCUGGCGGCGUGCCUAAUACAUGCAAGUCGAACGCAUUGUGGUUGAAAUGAUAUGAAGAACUUGUUCAGAUUUGAUUUUCAACAUUGCAAUGAGUGGCGAACGGGUGAGUAACACGUGGGAAACCUACCUCUUAGCAGGGGAUAACAUUUGGAAACAAAUGCUAAUGCCGUAUAAUAAUUAAAACCGCAUGGUUUUAGUUUAAAAGAUGGUCUUGCUAUCACUAAGAGAUGGUCCCGCGGUGUAUCAGUUAGUUGGUGAGGUAAUGGCUCACCAAGACAAUGAUACAUAGCCGAGUUGAGAGACUGACCGGCCACAAUGGGACUGAGACACGGCCCAUACUCCUACGGGAGGCAGCAGUAGGGAAUCUUCCACAAUGGACGAAAGUCUGAUGGAGCAACGCCGCGUGUGUGAUGAAGGGUUUCGGCGUCGUAAACGACUGUUGUAAGAGAAGAAUGACAUUGAGAGUAACUG
rnacentral:rRNA from 1 species